ACGGUGGCCGAGGGGAGUCUUCCGACUGAGAAUCUCACCUACGUGAGAUGACCCUUUGAACCUGAUCCGGUUAAUACCGGCGGAGGGAACGGACCGAGAACCUGUA
rnacentral:ncRNA from 2 species